rnacentral:piRNA from 1 species
UUAUCCACUUUUGAAGCUCUG